rnacentral:lncRNA from 1 species
AGAUCCGAGCAAUAUGGCGUACGCCAAUUAUUCGAAUAAUCGAGAGAUAAUAAAGCGGAAGCUUACUAUUCUCCUUUUCAUUCAAAAUAAAUUAUUAAAAAAAAUGGCUUUUAAAAUCAAUAAAUAAUUUGGAGGAGUGAUUUUAAUCUCAUAGAAUUUUUUAAGGUUUAAAUUGAAUGACGAAGAUCCGAGCAAUAUGGCGUACGCCAAUUAUUCGAAUAAUCGAGAGAUAAUAAAGCGGAAGCUUACUAUUCUCCUUUUCAUUCAAAAAUUAAUUAUUAAAAUAGCGACUUUUAGAAUAAUUAAAUUGGGGAAAUGAUUUUAAUUUUAUAGAGUUUUUUAAGGUUUUAAUUUGAUGACGAAGAUUCGAGCAAUGUGGCGUACGCCAAUUAUUCGAAUAAUCGAAAGAUAGUGAGGCGUACGCCUCCUAUCCUCUUUUCAUCUGAAAUAUAGAAUAAAAAGGAUUUGGAAUUUGUAGAACUGAUUUGAAAUAUGUAUGAUUAUGGUUUGAAUUAUUUGAAUUUGGAAAUUAUAUUUGAUUUUGAAAAGUGAUUUGAAAUUGUGUGAUUUAAAAUUUAAUCGGGUGACAAGAACUCGCGCAAUAUGGCGUACGCCAAUUAUUCGAGUAAUUGAGAAAUAGUGAAGCGUACGCUUACUAUCUUCUUUUUCACUCCUAAGAUCUAAAUUAUAAAAAAUGAAAUUUUAAAAUUGUGUUUAUCUAUAAAAAAAAAUUGAAUUUGAGCUCAAAAGGAAUUAAUCAAAUUUUAAAUUAACUAUUUAAUGUUGGGCUAAGAUUUAAAUCGUUGUUUUUCUAAACAAAGAAAAGUUGAACUCAACCACUUAUGAAUUUUAAUAAACUUCUACCUAAUUAUUUAAUUACAAAUACUAUAACCAUAGUAAACAAAAUGAAGGUCCAAAUCAUAUUGACUUUUUACUAUACUAUUUAUUAUAAUCAUUCAAAAUUGAAGAACUCAUAGAUAGUGAGUAAAUAAAUUAACUUUAAAUGGAUUAAAACAUAGUAGCUACCUGGGAGAAUCAUAGAAUAUAAUUUUUUACUUUUAAACCCAAAUGUGAAACGCAUAGAAACCACCCAAGCAGUUUCACCCAUAUCCAGAUAGCCAUACGAACCAACAUUUGAAAGUUAGGCUUUACGAAUACCGUCAACAAAAUUUCCAGAAGUUUAUCAAAAUCAACAAAAACUCCUACAUAAUAACUCCCAACAAAACAUAAUUUUUGGCUAUUAAAUAAAAAUCUGAUAUAACCUUUUCCCACAUAUAAAUAGAUUUGAAACACAAUUAAAUAUACCCUUUCCACCCCUAAAAUUUCAAAUUGUUACUCAAACUUGCAAUGCUUAUUAUAUAAGCAAAUUCAGAUGCUAAAGUAGCAGCAGGAUAACGUAAUCAACGAUAGCUCAUAAGCCCACAAAGCUGUAAAUAUGGACAUGUGACCGAAAUCAAGUAACAUAAUAUUUUCAAUCUUACACUAUCAAUGUCAAACACCAAAACAGUAUAACCAAUAGCAGCAAGAUAUAUGAUGAAUAUUUACAUCUGAAACAAAUAAAUAAUGAUUUCAACACCCUCAGUCCAUAACAAUGCUAAAAAAUAACAGUACUAAUCCAUCCAUAACUUUGUAACAGUACUUAAAUAUAAACCAACGGAUAACCGAAUCGAAAAAGUGAAAAAUGCACAGUGAAAUGAUUUUCAGUCAAACCCAAAAACUCGACUUAAUCAAACGGAAAGAGUAUAUCACAAACCAACCCACUAUGUAUGAAUCGCAGUAAAUAAAUUUAAAAGGGUAUUUACCGCACGAGACCGACGAUGUGAAUUCAAUCCAUGAUACCGUAACGCCCUUUGAUGAAGCGUAACUCCGCGUAAACUCCGUUAGCUAACCACACACGCAAAACUUUGGGAGCAAACUCGAUAAACUCCCCUUUGCUGAACCGAGCUAAUAAAAAAAUGACGGAUUGGAAGUAACGGCGGAAGGUGCUUCACGAUUAGAAAACCAGAUGCGCAAUGGCGGCGGUCCUGGUCACGAUCUUGUUUGAGGCGACCUUGCCAGAAACGGACAAGUUGAAUCCGUCGGAAAUAGAGUUCGCAGAUGAGAACCGAGUGGGGNNN